GUGGCGAACGGGUGCGUAACACGUGGAUAACCUUCCUUCAGGUGGGGAAUAACCCAGUGAAAAUUGGGCUAAUACCGCAUAACAUCGCGAUGAGACAUCUUGUUGCGUUCAAAGGCGCAAGUCGCCGGAAGAGGGAUCCGCGGCCGAUUAGCUUGUUGGCGAGGUAAUGGCUCACCAAGGCAUUGAUCGGUAGCCGGACUGAGAGGUUGGCCGGCCACACUGGAACUGAGACACGGUCCAGACUCCUACGGGAGGCAGCAGUGGGGAAUCUUGCGCAAUGGGCGAAAGCCUGACGCAGCAACGCCGCGUGGGGGAUGAAGCUUCUCGGAGUGUAAACCCCUUUCGACCCGGAAGAAAAUCCGCAAGGAUUUGACGGUACGGGUAUAAGAAGCCCCGGCUAACUACGUGCCAGCAGCCGCGGUAAAACGUAGGGGGCCAGCGUUGCUCGGAAUUACUGGGCGUAAAGGGUCCGUAGGCGGUGUGGCAAGUCGGUAGUGAAAUCUCUGGGCUUAACUCAGAGGCUGCUGCCGA
rnacentral:rRNA from 1 species